AGGACGAACGCUGGCGGCGUGCUUAACACAUGCAAGUCAAGGGGACCCGCAAGGGUAACCGGCGAACGGGUGCGUAACACGUGAGCAACCUACCGAGAUGAGGGGGAUAGCCGGCCCAACGGCCGGGUAAUACCGCAUACGCUCUUUCCACGGCAUUGUGGAUUGAGGAAACCUCCGGGGCAUUUCGAGGGGCUCGCGGCCUAUCAGCUAGUUGGCGAGGUCACGGCUCACCAAGGCGACGACGGGUAGCUGGUCUGAGAGGAUGGCCAGCCACAUUGGGACUGAGACACGGUCCAGACUCCUACGGGAGGCAGCAGUGAGGAAUCUUGCGCAAUGGGGGAAACCCUGACGCAGCAACGCCGCGUGGAGGAUGAAGGCCUUCGGUCGUAAACUCCUGUCAGAUGGGACGAAGGCGUUACGGCGAAUAGUCCGUAAGCUUGACGGUACAUCAGACGGAAGCCCCGGACUAACUCUGUCGCCAGCAGCCG
rnacentral:rRNA from 1 species